rnacentral:rRNA from 1 species
UGCCUACGGGGCGCAGCAGUGGGGAAUAUUGCACAAUGGGGGAAACCCUGAUGCAGCGACGCCGCGUGAGUGAAGAAGUAUCUCGGUACGUAAAGCUCUAUCAGCAGGGAAGAAAAAAAGUCUUUGGCUUUGGACGGUACCUGACUAAGAAGCCCCGGCUAACUACGUGCCAGCAGCCGCGGUAAUACGUAGGGGGCAAGCGUUAUCCGGAUUUACUGGGUGUAAAGGGAGCGUAGGCGGCCACGCAAGUCAGAAGUGAAAACCCGGGGCUCAACCCUGGGAGUGCUUUUGAAACUGUGCGGCUG